GUACGGGAAGGAUGAGAAGCUUCGACUAAGGUUCGAUUCGAGCGUCAGCGAGAAAGCGUUGCCGCAGGCAACGACCCGAAGGGCGAAGCGCGCAGCGCUGAGUAAUCCUUCCCCCACCACCA
rnacentral:sRNA from 1 species